rnacentral:snRNA from 1 species
GUGCUCACUGCAGUAGCACAUAUGCUAAAAGGGAACCACACAGAGAAGAGUAGCACAGCCCCUGCACAAGGAUGAUGCAAAUUUGUGAAGAGCUCCAUGUUAUU